rnacentral:rRNA from 1 species
AUUGAACGCUGGCGGCAGGCCUAACACAUGCAAGUCGAACGAGUGGCGGACGGGUGAGUAAUGUCUGGGAAACUGCCUGAUGGAGGGGGAUAACUACUGGAAACGGUAGCUAAUACCGCAUACCAUCGGAUGUGCCCAGAUGGGAUUAGCUAGUAGGUGGGGUAACGGCUCACCUAGGCGACGAUCCCUAGCUGGUCUGAGAGGAGUACCAUGCAAACUUGAACUGGGACAAGGUCCAGACUCCUAUGGGAGGCAGCAGGGGGGAAUAUUGCACAAUGGGCGCAAGCCUGGUGCAGCCAUGCCGCGUGUAUGAAGAAGGCCUUCGGGGUGUAAAGUACUUUCAGCGGGGAGGCGUUACCCGCAGAAGAAGCACCGGCUAACUCCGUGCCAGGAGGCGCGGUAAUAC